UUUCUAUUUCCUUCCCUCUUCUCCGUUUACUCAUUCCUUGCCUUAUGAACCUUAUUUUACCCUCACAAAUUCUCAUCUCAAAAACACUCAAACAGUAGCCAUUUCUUGCUUCCUUGGACUCCGGCAUUCCUCCCCUUCAUCCAAGGUCAGUUCGGCAAUCACCUUCACUUCUAUCAUCAUCAUCAUCACCUCCUUCCACAUAUGUACAUACCUACAUACAUAGAAUACAAAUAUACAAUUAGUGGUGAAAAGGCUUUGAAGGAACUGCCCCUAGCAAAAAAGAAAAGAAAAGAAAGAAACGUUGUGGCUGAUUUUUCAAAAGCUAUGAGAUCUGAGGCCUUUCUCAUUUCCUUCUACCACUUUUUGCAAAAUACCCAUUUUUUUAUAUUUGAUUCUUAAGUCAUUCUUCUUUUACACGGUUGUAGGUUUGUGAAGAAUGAUGAUGCAUGCACAGGGUUUUUAGCAGCUGUAAUCCUGAUGUAAAUUUUCUAUUUAGUAAUUAGCAAAAUGACUAAUUGGCAGUGCGUUUUUCUCAUUGGGAUGUCUUGUUUGAGUGUUUUUGGCUUACUUGGUCUAUGAAUGUUGCCAAUCCCACUGAAUAUAUCUUAUUUGCAGUUUACAAUAUAAAAAUGCAUAGUCUUUUUUGCUAGGUCUAGUCAUUGAUACCUCUCUUGGAACAACUCAGAUAAAGCUUUGUCUUUCCUAAAUGCAAAAUGUAUUUGCUUUGGGACAGGCAUGUUAAACUUUUAUUAUGCUUUUUAUGAUGCGCUUCAUGUGUCGAUUUCAUCAA